GUCCAGUUAUAAAAUGAUCGAUCGGGUGCAGGAUGCUCGGGGCAUGCAUAUUUUUUUUGACUUAGAACAAAGAACUAGUCCAGUUAUAAAAUGAUGGUCGUCGAGUCCGGUAAUGUUUCCCCAGCUGAUUGAGUACGGUGCCAUGGAAGAAACAAGCCGAGUAGCACACGUGCUGGUGCGUGUAAUCCCCUGACCGAGACGGAGUAAAAACGACCUUUAAAUUAAAUAAAUAAAUAAAUUCCACGUGCGAUCGAUCGAACGCUCGUGUGUUGAGUAUUUAUAAAAGCUAGG
rnacentral:lncRNA from 1 species